rnacentral:rRNA from 1 species
GACGAACGCUGGCGGCGUGCUUAACACAUGCAAGUCGACAUGAGUGGCGAACGGGUGAGUAAUACGUGGGUAACCUGCCCUCCUUUUUGGGAUAAGCCUUGGAAACGGGGUCUAAUACCGAAUAAAGGGGGAUGGGCUGGCGGCCUAUCAGGUGGUUGGUGGGGUAAUGGGCUAGCAAGGCGGUGACGGGUAGCCGGGCUGAGCGGCUGAACGGCGACAGAGGGACGGAGAUACCUCCUAGAGUACGAAGGGGUGGAGAAGCGGGGGCUAUUGACCAAAGGGUGACAGAGUGAUGCCGCGACGGUGAGUGGGGGAUUAAGGCUUUAGGGUUGUAUAGCUCGUUCGCUAUCGAACGGGUAGGUGGAGAAGAAGCGCCGGCUAACUACGUGCCAGCAGCCGCGGUAAUUC